CUGUAUCCACUGAUAGAAUGUGAACAAUUGUUAUCGUUGGUUUGCACUAGGAUGCAAAAGAAAGAAAUCCUUGCACUUUUUGUCUGUUUGUGAUGGCCCAGAUUGAAUUGAGGAAUACAUUU
rnacentral:snoRNA from 1 species